rnacentral:rRNA from 1 species
UCCGUAGGUGAACCUGCGGAGGGAUCAUUACACAAAUAUGAAGGCGGGCUGGAACCUCUCGGGGUUACAGCCUUGCUGAAUUAUUCACCCUUGUCUUUUGCGUACUUCUUGUUUCCUUGGUGGGUUCGCCCACCACUAGGACAAACAUAAACCUUUUGUAAUUGCAAUCAGCGUCAGUAACAAAUUAAUAAUUACAACUUUCAACAACGGAUCUCUUGGUUCUGGCAUCGAUGAAGAACGCAGCGAAAUGCGAUAAGUAGUGUGAAUUGCAGAAUUCAGUGAAUCAUCGAAUCUUUGAACGCACAUUGCGCCCUUUGGUAUUCCAAAGGGCAUGCCUGUUCGAGCGUCAUUUGUACCCUCAAGCUUUGCUUGGUGUUGGGCGUCUUGUCUCUAGCUUUGCUGGAGACUCGCCUUAAAGUAAUUGGCAGCCGGCCUACUGGUUUCGGAGCGCAGCACAAGUCGCACUCUCUAUCAGCAAAGGUCUAGCAUCCAUUGAGCCUUUUUUUCAACUUUUGACCUCGGAUCAGGUAGGGAUACCCGCUGAACUUAAGCAUAUCAAUAAGCGGAGGA